AUUGACGCUGGCGGCAGGCUUAACACAUGCAAGUCGAGCGGAAACGAUGGGUGCUUGCACCCAGGCGUCGAGCGGCGGACGGGUGAGUAAUGCUUAGGAAUCUGCCUAGUAGUGGGGGAUAGCCCGGGGAAACCCGGAUUAAUACCGCAUACGUCCUACGGGAGAAAGCAGGGGAUCUUCGGACCUUGCGCUAUUAGAUGAGCCUAAGUCGGAUUAGCUAGUUGGUGAGGUAAAGGCUCACCAAGGCGACGAUCCGUAGCUGGUCUGAGAGGAUGAUCAGCCACAUCGGGACUGAGACACGGCCCGAACUCCUACGGGAGGCAGCAGUGGGGAAUAUUGGACAAUGGGGGCAACCCUGAUCCAGCCAUGCCGCGUGUGUGAAGAAGGCUUUCGGGUUGUAAAGCACUUUCAGUAAGGAGGAAAACCUUAAGGUUAAUACCCUUAAGGCUUGACGUUACUUACAGAAGAAGCACCGGCUAACUCCGUGCCAGCCGCCGCGGUAAUUCAAGCCGAAUUCAA
rnacentral:rRNA from 1 species